GCUGUUUUGGUUACUAUAGCUCUGUAGUAUAAUUUGAAGUCAGGUAAUGUGACUUCUCUGGUUUUCUUCUUUUAUCAAGCAAGGAGAGAUUUAGGGAUCUAGGAAUUAGGGUUUGCAAAAUCACUGGAAGGGUAGACGUGCAAAGGCUCAGGAAAGCCAUUCAUUGCUCUCAGGCCAACCAACAGCUACAAGAAAAACAAGUUUCGGAACCUGCAGAAAUCAUUGCCAGGGUCACAUUUGCCUGCAGUACCAAGGUGGGAUUCAGUGGGGAAAUGCUCAAAUGCCAGGGCAAACUCAUGCUUGCCAUGUUUGCCACCUGUUGAAGGGGGAGCAGCAAGCCGGCUUGCCUCUCUUCUAUCUUCCAAAUAACACUCGAGUGCCUCUCAGUGGCCCAAUCUAAGUUGGAAUGCUCCUAGUUGUUAUACGGGGAAAUGUAAUCCCCAGGCUUUCCACUCUCCAAUACAGAGGUGGCACACCAGAGUGGAGAAGCAGCCGACGACCCAACAGAGGCAGGAAAUGCCACCCUGUGUUCUCUUCUUGCUUUCCCCGCAGUUAUCCUUUCUGGUGGAAAGAGACUCUCCAAUGCAGAUGAAUUCCAAGGAUUGAGGUCUGUCAGAUUUCAGAGUCCACAUGUGGAGGGAAUGUCUACCUCAAAUUAGCAAAAGCUUGCAGGAUAACAACCGUCCUCUUGUACCACAAUAAGGACCAAGCACACAGAUUCACGUUAUCAGCUUGCUGAUGGCUCUCUAGCGGCCCCCGCAUGAUCAUAUGGUCCUCAGAACACCAGAAGAUCAUAUGCAAAUAUUGACUGCAUAUUCAUCAAGAUACCACAUGGCCAGGGUAAGCUGCUUUAAUUAUCCUUCAAGGAGAAACACAGCCGUCUCUAGCACAUGCACUCCGCUGGCUCUGUUGGCAUGUUGGUGCCUGAAUUGAUAUGGAAAUUAUUUCAAAAACAAAAUAUUAAAGAGGAGUGAAAUCUGCUAUAUUGUACAUUCAACUUA